rnacentral:rRNA from 1 species
UACGAAGGGGGCUAGCGUUGCUCGGAAUUACUGGGCGUAAAGCGCACGUAGGCGGACCGAUAAGUCGGGGGUGAAAUCCUGGAGCUCAACUCCAGAACUGCCUCCGAAACUGCCGGCCUUGAGUUCGGGAGAGGUGAGUGGAACUGCGAGUGUAGAGGUGAAAUUCGUAGAUAUUCGCAAGAACACCAGUGGCGAAGGCGGCUCACUGGCCCGAUACUGACGCUGAGGUGCGAAAGCGUGGGGAGCAAAC